rnacentral:rRNA from 1 species
UUUAAUUCGAUGCAACGCGAAGAACCUUACCACUCCUUGACAUGGGGACUAGAUCCUUCUUAACGGAAGGGCGCAGUUAGGCUGGGUCCCACACAGGUGCUGCAUGCCUGUCGUCAGCUCGUGUCGUGAGAUGUUGGGUUAAGUCCGGCAACGAGCGUAACCCUCAUUCUUAGUUGCCAGCGGGUAAUGCCGGGCACUUUAAGAAAACUGCCGGUGGUAAACUGGAGGAAGGUGGGGAUGUUGUCAAGUCAACUCGGCC